UCCAGACUCCUACGGGAGGCAGCAGUGGGGAAUAUUGCACAAUGGGGGGAACCCUGAUCCAGCGACGCCGCGUGAGUGAAGAAGUAUUUCGGUAUGUAAAGCUCUAUCAGCAGGGAAGAAGAAAUGACGGUACCUGACUAAGAAGCCCCGGCUAACUACGUGCCAGCAGCCGCGGUAAUACGUAGGGGGCAAGCGUUAUCCGGAUUUACUGGGUGUAAAGGGAGCGCAGGCGGCGCGGUAAGUCUGAUGUGAAAGCCCGGGGCUCAACCCCGGGACUGCAUUGGAAACUGUCGUGCUGGAGUGUCGGAGGGGGAAGUGGAAUUCCUAGUGUAGCGGUGAAAUGCGUAGAUAUUAGGAGGAACACCAGUGGCGAAGGCGGCUUGCUGGACGACAACUGACGCUGAGGCUCGAAAGCGUGGGGAGCAAACAGGAUUAGAUACCCGAGUAAAA
rnacentral:rRNA from 1 species